CGUAGGGUGCGAGCGUUAAUCGGAAUUACUGGGCGUAAAGCGUGCGCAGGCGGUUUGUUAAGAUAGGCGUGAAAUCCCCGGGCUCAACCUGGGAACUGCGCUUAUGACUGGCAAGCUAGAGUACGGCAGAGGGGGGUGGAAUUCCACGUGUAGCAGUGAAAUGCGUAGAGAUGUGGAGGAACACCAAUGGCGAAGGCAGCCCCCUGGGUCGAUACUGACGCUCAUGCACGAAAGCGUGGGUAGCAAACAGGACUAGAUACCCUGGUAGUCCACGCCCUAAACGAUGUCAACUAGGUGUUGGAUGGGUAAAACCAUUUAGUACCGGAGCUAACGCGUGAAGUUGACCGCCUGGGGAGUACGGCCGCAAGGUUA
rnacentral:rRNA from 1 species